AAAAAUUACAUGGUGAUUACCGACUCCACGGACUCAACCUCUCUUAACCUCCUAUGGACCUCGCGCAAUCCUCCGGGUUGUCCACGCCCUCACGUUUGAAUCCACGAACGCCUCCACUCCGAAUCCACGAAGCUUCAAUCAUGCCGAAUCCACGACGCCACUCGAAUCCACGAGCCCACGAUCCGAAUCCACGAACCGCCGUCAAACACGCCGAAUCCACGACGCCACCAUGAAGAAUAUCAUGAAUAUGGUGAUCCUUCGCUUAGGAGUAUCGUAGAAAACCAGGGAAUAGAACUCCAAGCAAAGCGGAGAUCAAAUCGACAUAUUAAUAUCAAAUUUCAAUAUCUCAAUUUGAUCUAAAAGAGGCUUUUUGUAGAAAAUAGGUUUUAGAUGAAAUCCGAGCCUCUAGGGUUUCUCAAAUAUGUAUUUUCGUGAUCCUUGAUGUGUUAGAGAACCCCAAUAGCUUAUUUAUAGACUUUAGAUUCAAUUGGAGUCAGAUUAGAAAGUUUUCACGAUUUUACACUGUGUACGGGUACGCGAAAUGCUGUCACCGGUUACACAAUGACGGAACGAAAAUUUGCAUUGCCAAUGUUGAUGGCUGUACCGGUACGGGGCAAUUGCUGUACCGGUACACAAUUGCAAAUUUUUGGAUUUUACACUAUUUCGGGUUCCGCAAAGUUCCGAGGCACUUUCUAAUCCAUUAAACUUUGAUUAAAUGAUUCUAAUGCCUAUAACUAAGUAUGAACCACCAUAACAUGAAUUAAAACUUUACCUGAGCAUCGUGAUUCAAGUUUUGCGUGUUUUGCGUCCUUUCCGAUUCUUCGAAGUCUUGAAUUCUUCGAUCUUCAAUACUCCGCUCCGGACUUCUUCAAGACUCCGACUAGACCCACGAAACUUGCCAACACAUAAGACCUAACAAUCUCCCCCUUUGGCAAUUUCGUGACAAAACUCAAACUCAACAAUUACAUUGUAAAAAGAAAACGAAGUUCAAUUGUCAUCACCAAAACAUUGAACUCCUCGCGUGUAGUCCAAAUACAAAUUGAGAAUCAAAAUUACAUUUAAAACUCCUAAAACAGACUCUAUGACUUAGACGCAACUAGAAGUCUUGAAGUCUUGAUUUCCUGUAAAACAAUUCAUUAAAAAAUGAUUAACCUUAAAUUAUUAUACCUUCUCCCCCUUUGUUUUUGAUGAUCACAUCUCCCCCUUUGUUCUUGAAUUCAUCCUCAUCUCCUUUGAUUUCGAUCAACACUUGUUCAUCUAUACUCUCCCCCUUUUUGUCAAAAAUUGCCAAAGAUAAAGCAUACAAAGAGAGAAAACAUAGUAGAAAUCAUAUAGGAAUUUUUAGAGAGUGAAAGAGAGCGAUUUGAUUACGGAUUUUGGAGAGAAAUAAAUAAUUGAACCGUUUAAUAAAUUCUGUCAUGCGGUACUAAAACCUGUAUGCCAGAAUUUAAAAAUUUUGCCUCAAAAUGCUUCAUAAUAAAAUUAAUUUUAUAAAAAUUAAAGAUUUUACUCCAAAAAUUAUUAUGAUGAAAUUAAUUAUUAUAAGAUUUCAAAAUACAUCGAAACAUCAAAAUUUGUUAUUAUAAAUGACCUCAAGUUUCAAAAUCAUCAAGAUGUAAUGGUUCAUGAAAAAUGAUAUUUAGAAAUUCGGCAAAAUUGACACCAAUUUGUCGCAAUCCGUUCAAAAUAGAGAUUUAACUAAUUUGAUACCGGGGGUGGCUCUUUGAGCAUCUUUUUCAAACUAACACCUUAUAACUCCGAAAAUUCUAAAAUAUUCAUUUUUUUUCCAACCUUUUCGGCUUUUCAAUUAAUCUUCAUGUGGUAGCUUCACACACUUGCCGGACAACCGAGGUUGUAGCUCUUUCCUACAUGUGGUGGUAGUUUUCACACUCCUUUUAGGACGUAACUCUUUCCACAUCUUUUAAACAUAGGAGUUUCUUUUUCUCCCUUUUUCUUAAUUUCAAACUCCCCCUAAAUUAGACAAUCUCACAAUUGAAAAUAAUUUUGAUGAAUUUUAGUCAAUUAGAGAAUAUCCAUUCAUCAUAUCCAACACUCACAACCAAGAUGAAUUAAUCACCAAAAAAUCAAAUUUGAUUUCAAAAUUUUGAUGAAUUUAUGAAUUAAGAAAUCAUAUAUUAUCUCGAAAAUUUUGAAUUCCUAAACACCUUUCCUCAAAAUGAUUUAUAAAUAAACAAAAAAAUUCAAUGCACCAAAAAUCAUUCAAACAUGUAAUGCAAUGAAUAAAAUUAUGCAACAAGCACCAACCAAAGCAUUACACUAAGGAUAAAAAAUGACUAAGACGAGGAGCAAGGAAAGAUAUCACCUUUCCGGAUCCAAACUUGUCGGAUCGUUGGUUUUCUCGACUUGUCGACGUUAGGUGCCGUUUGUUUAGACUUUUGAUCAACCGUUGGUGGUUUCUUCGGUUGAGGCUUCAGUUGAAUUUGUCGUUGAGGCUUAUGCACCUGUUUUGCAUGAACUUGGCGUUGUGCAUUAGAACUCCGGUUCUUUUGAGGUACUCGACUAACUUGAUUUUUCUUAUGAUUCCGCGGGGGAAGUCGAGUUGUAGAUGAUGUCGUUUGAGGUUUAGACAUUGCCGAUUGAUUCUUCUUUUCCUUAUUUUGGCAAUUCCUUUUAAUGUGUCCUUUCUUGCCACAUUUAUGACACACCUUCUCUUUCGAAGUUGUUGAGACUUUAGAAGUUAAUUUUGAAUCCUUUUCAACGUAUGUUCGUUCAUAUCCGAGUCCGAGCUUGUUUGUUUGACCCAAUCCGAGCAUAUGAUCUAGUUUCUUUGAUCCGAAAGAAAAUCGUUGAAUGUCGGAUUGAAGUUGACGAACUUGAUUGGUCAAAGACUUAUUGGAUGUGUGCGAUUCCUCGAAUUGUUGCUCCAAAAAUCCAACCUUAUCUUUAUAAGAUUUGAUCGUUGAUUCGGCUUCAUUAAGCUUCUCUUGGAGGUCCGAAUUAAUCUUCAAGUUUGAAUCCCUUUCCUCCUCAAGAACCUUAUUCAAAUUCUUUACGCUGUUGUUUUCCUCCUCAAGUUCCAACAAACGACGUUUCAACUUCUUGUUGAGUUUAGCCAUCUUCUUUGAUUCAAUGAGAAGUUGAUUAUACGCUUCCGCUAUGUCGUCGUCGUUUGAUUCCUCCUCACUUUCGCCAUUGUUGCUCGAAGAAUCAUGUGAAGAAAGAGAAAUAUUGGAAUUAGUAGCAAUUGAGGAUAGACACACAACGUUAGACGAAGGUAAGGUAGAUAUAGCAAAUAAAGCAAGAUUUCCAUUCUUUUUUCGUCACUCGAGCUUGAAUCACUUGAAGUUGUAUUAUCCCACGUCUUUGCUUGCAUAGCCUUUUUAGUAUAUGAUUUCUUUGAGGGACAAUCCGUUGCUAUUUGACCGUAGCCUUUGCACUUGAAACAUCGGAUUUCACCUUCAAAUUCAUCCUUUUCCUUUGAGGACUUUGCACGGUUUUUAUCCUUAGACUUUGAAGAUGAAGAUGAUUUAGACAAAGAUUGUCGCUUAGAUGAUGAAGCCUUGUCUAAUCUAUUCUUGUUCCGAAAAUUUCGACGAAACUUCUUCGUGAGAAGCGCCAAUUGUUGUUCAAAGUCCGCAAUUGAGGUCUCUCCGUCGGAAUUCGAGUCUCCGUCUUCCUCUUUCGUCGAUUUCAACGCAACCCCUGUGCUUUUAGAGAAAGACUUGGAAUAAGAUUGAUUAGUAAGAAAAGUCAUCUCAUACGUUUGGAAAGCGCCUACUAAUUCUUCGACUUUCAUCUCGUCCGGAUGCUUAACGGUUUCGAUCGCGGCAACUUUUGCCCGAAAGCGUUCCGAAAGAGUUCGAAGAAUCUUUCUAACAACCUUUGAAUCCGGGAUUUUCUCUCCCAAGUUAGCGCAUGUAUUCACAACGUCUUGUAAACGCGUAUAGUACUCGGUAAAGGUCUCAUUUUCGUCCAUAGAAAUUGAAUCAAACUUGCUAGUUAGCAUUUGCAAUUUCUGGACCUUUACUAAGCUUGUUCCUUCAUGCGUAACUUGUAGAGUAUCCCAAAUUUCUUUUGCCGUUUCGCAUGCCGAAACCCGAGUAAACUCCGUUUGCGAUAAAGCGUUGAAUAAAGCAUUAAUUCCUUUACCGUUAAACGAAGAUGACUCGUUUUCAUCUUUUGUCCACUUAUUCCGUGCUUUAGGGACGGUAGCGUUAUUGACAACUUCAGUAGGGUGCUCCCAACCAAAUUCAAUAGCAUUCCAAACACGCUCAACGAUUGCGAUUAGAAAAGCUCUCAUGCGAACUUUCCAAUAGGCAUAAUUUGUGCCAUCGAAGAGUGGAGGACGAUUAACGUUACCGCCUUCGGCCAUUCGAAAACAAUAUAUCUAGAUCCCGCUCUGAUACCAAUUGAAAGUUUUGAGGAGCCCAAGGAUCUAUCUAGAUUGUAUCUAUCACCUAGAAGGGGGUGAUUAGGUGAAAUAGCCAAAAAACCACAAAUCUCAAUGCGAUAAAAAUAAAUGCGGAAAAUAAAAAAAUCACACCGAGAUUUACGUGGGAAAACUCCAAUUUGGAGAAAAACCCACGGGACCAACACGUGAAAAAACAAUCCACUAAGAGAAAAGAUUACAAGGUGAUUACCGACUCCACGGACUCAACCUCUCUUAACCUCCUAUGGACCUCGCGCAAUCCUCCGGGUUGUCCACGCCCUCACAUUCGAAUCCACGAAGCUUCAAUCACGCCGAAUCCACGACGCCACUCGAAUCCACGAGCCCACGAUCCGAAUCCACGAACCGCCGUCAAACACGCCGAAUCCACGACGCCACCAUGAAGAAUAUCAUGAAUAUGGUGAUCCUUC
rnacentral:lncRNA from 1 species